AUUCGUAUCGCCGCCACUCCCACAAACGUCUACGACCGCACCUACAUAUUUUUGCAUGUUUACAAUUCUAAUUUUAAACAGCCAAUCGACGCGUUUAAUUGUAAUUGUUACCAAGAACCGGAUUGGCUGUUUAAUUAAGAUUAAAAUUUGUAAACAUGCAAAAAUAUGUAGAUACGGUCGUAUAGACGUUUGUGGGAGUGGCGGCGAUACGAAU